rnacentral:rRNA from 1 species
AUUGAACGCUGGCGGCAGGCCUAACACAUGCAAGUCGAGCGGAUGAAGGGAGCUUGCUCCUGGAUUCAGCGGCGGACGGGUGAGUAAUGCCUAGGAAUCUGCCUGGUAGUGGGGGAUAACGUCCGGAAACGGGCGCUAAUACCGCAUACGUCCUGAGGGAGAAAGUGGGGGAUCUUCGGACCUCACGCUAUCAGAUGAGCCUAGGUCGGAUUAGCUAGUUGGUGGGGUAAAGGCCUACCAAGGCGACGAUCCGUAACUGGUCUGAGAGGAUGAUCAGUCACCGUGGAAUGGAGACACGGCCCAGACCCCGACGGGGGGCCGCUGGGGGAAAUUUGGGAAAAUGGGCGAAAGCCUGCUCCAGCCAUGCCGCGGGUGUGAAAAAGGUUUUCGGUUUUUAAAGCCCUUUAAGUUGGGGGGAAGGGCAGUAAGUUAAUCCCUUGCUUUUUUGACGUUACCAACAAAAUAAGCCCCGCCUACCUUCGG